rnacentral:rRNA from 1 species
AGAACGAACGCUGGCGGCAUGCCUAACACAUGCAAGUCGAACGAGACCUUCGGGUCUAGUGGCGCACGGGUGCGUAACGCGUGGGAAUCUGCCCUUGGGUUCGGGAUAACAGUUGGAAACGACUGCUAAUACCGGAUGAUGACUUCGGUCCAAAGAUUUAUCGCCCAGGGAUGAGCCCGCGUAGGAUUAGCUAGUUGGUGAGGUAAAGGCUCACCAAGGCGACGAUCCUUAGCUGGUCUGAGAGGAUGAUCAGCCACACUGGGACUGAGACACGGCCCAGACUCCUACGGGAGGCAGCAGUGGGGAAUAUUGGACAAUGGGCGAAAGCCUGAUCCAGCAAUGCCGCGUGAGUGAUGAAGGCCUUAGGUGUAAAGCUCUUUUACCCGGGAUGAUAAUGACAGUACCGGAGAAUAAGCCCCGGCUAACUCCGCGCCCAGCAGCCGC